rnacentral:rRNA from 1 species
GAUGAACGCUAGCGGCAGGCCUAACACAUGCAAGUCGAGGGGUAGCAGGAUUAAGCUUGCUUAAUUGCUGACGACCGGCGCACGGGUGCGUAACGCGUAUGCAACCUACCUUAUACUGGGGUAUAGCCCGGAGAAAUUCGGAUUAAUCCCCCAUAGUACUAAUGAAUCGCAUGGUUUAUUAGUUAAAGCAUUGCGGUAUAAGAUGGGCAUGCGUCAUAUUAGCUAGGUGGUGAGGUAACGGGUCACCAUGGCUACGAUAGGUAGGGGGCCUGGGAGGGGGGUCCCCCACACUGGUACUGAGACACGGACCAGACUGCUACGGGAGGCAGCAGUGAGGAAUAUUGGUCAAUGGGCGCAAGCCUGAACCAGCCAUGCCGCGUGCAGGAAGAAUGCCCUAUGGGUUGUAAACUGCUUUUAUUUGGGAAUAAACCUCUUUACGUGUAGAGAGCUGAAGGUACCAAAUGAAUAAGCACCGGCUAACUCCGUGCCAGCAGCCGCAGUAA